rnacentral:misc_RNA from 1 species
ACAUAUGGAGCUUUCCUUAAAGAAUUUUAGCAUAUAGUAUAGCAACAGUCAUAAUCCCGGCCUCAGAACUCCCAAGAUAGCAAGAGCAGGCAACAUAGUGUAUAGCACUAUAGCUUUACCUCUUCUGACAAUAACUUCACAAAGCAUACUAUACUCUUGUAUUUGAAAGAAAUCAUAUUUAUUUUGAUCAAAGCUUGCUUGUGUACAAAGUAAAGUACAUGCACUGAUGCAAAUACACAGAUGCAGACUGACCUCGUA